rnacentral:rRNA from 1 species
GAUGAACGCUGGCGGCGUGCCUAAUACAUGCAAGUCGAGCGAACGGACGAGAAGCUUGCUUUUCUGAUGUUAGCGGCGGACGGGUGAGUAACACGUGGAUAACCUACCUAUAAGACUGGGAUAACUUCGGGAAACCGGAGCUAAUACCGUAUAAUAUUUUGAACCGCAUGGUUCAAAAGUGAAAGACGGUCUUGCUGUCACUUAUAGAUGGAUCCGCGCUGCAUUAGCUAGUUGGUAAGGUAACGGCUUACCAAGGCAACGAUGCAUAGCCGACCUGAGAGGGUGAUCGGCCACACGGGAACUGAGACACGGUCAAGACGCCUAAGGGAGGCAGCAGUAGGGAAUCUUACGCAAUGGGCGAAAGCCUGACGGAGCAACGCCGCGUGAGUGAUGAAGGUCUUCGGAUCGUAAAACUCUGUUAUUAGGGAAGAACAUAUGUGUAAGUAAAUGUGCACAUCGUGACGGUACCUAAUCAGAAAGCCACGGCUAACUACGUG